UUUCUAUUCCCUCCGUCCGAAAAUACUUGUCAUCAAAAUGGAUAAAAAGAGAUGUAUCUAAAACUAAAAUAUGUCUAGAUACAUUUCCUUUUAUCCAUUUUAAUGACAAGUAUUUCCGGACGGAGGGAGUAUUUG
rnacentral:pre_miRNA from 1 species